GAUGAACGCUGGCGGCGUGCCUAAUACAUGCAAGUCGAGCGAACAGACGAUGAGCUUGCUCCUUGGACGUUAGCCGCGGACGGGUGAGUAACACGUGUAUACUCUACCUAUAAUUCUGGUAUCAUUUCGGAAAACCGGAUCUUAUAGCGUAUAAUAUAUUGAUCCGCAGGGUUCAAUAGUGAGAUACGGUUUUGCUGUCUCGUCUCGAUGCUUACGCGCCGCAUUAGCUAGUUGGUAAGGUAACGGCUUAUCAAGGCAACGAUGCGUAGCCGAACUGAGAGGGUGAUCGGCCACCCUGGAACUGAGACACCGUCCAGGCUCCUAAGGGAGGCAGCAGUAGGGAAUCUUCCGCAAUGGGCGAAAGCAUGACGGAGCAAGGCCGCGUGAGAGAUGACAGUCUUCCGAUCGUAAAGCUCUGUUAUUAGGGAAGAACAAAUGUGUAAGUAACUAUGCACGUCGUGACGGUACCUAAUAAGAAAGCAACGGCUAACUACGUG
rnacentral:rRNA from 1 species